CGACUAUGUGCGGUCCGACUACGAUCCCAUUAACACCCUGGAGAACUCCAUCCGAUCCGGUUGAUCAUUCGACUAUCGCGGCAUGUAACGGGCGGGCUGCAUCCACCGCUCCGCCCCCUCUGCCGGUGACCCCCUGACCCCACCCCGGCUGAGACAGGACCAGACGACCAGUGAGAUGAGUGGAGAG